GCCCUUGAGGCGUGGCUUCCGGAGCUAACGCGUUAAGUCGACCGCCUGGGGAGUACGGCCGCAAGGUUAAAACUCAAAUGAAUUGACGGGGGCCCGCACAAGCGGUGGAGCAUGUGGUUUAAUUCGAUGCAACGCGAAGAACCUUACCUGGUCUUGACAUCCACAGAACUUUCCAGAGAUGGAUUGGUGCCUUCGGGAACUGUGAGACAGGUGCUGCAUGGCUGUCGUCAGCUCGUGUUGUGAAAUGUUGGGUUAAGUCCCGCAACGAGCGCAACCCUUAUCCUUUGUUGCCAGCGGUCCGGCCGGGAACUCAAAGGAGACUGCCAGUGAUAAACUGGAGGAAGGUGGGGAUGACGUCAAGUCAUCAUGGCCCUUACGACCAGGGCUACACACGUGCUACAAUGGCGCAUACAAAGAGAAGCGACCUCGCGAGAGCAAGCGGACCUCAUAAAGUGCGUCGUAGUCCGGAUUGGAGUCUGCAACUCGACUCCAUGAAGUCGGAAUCGCUAGUAAUCGUGGAUCAGAAUGCCACGGUGAAUACGUUCCCGGGCCUUGUACACACCGCCCGUCACACCAUGGGAGUGGGUUGCAAAAGAAGUAGGUAGCUUAACCUUCGGGAGGGCGCUUACCACUUUGUGAUUCAUGACUGGGGUGAAGUCGUAACAAGGUAACCGUAGGGGAACCUGCGGUUG
rnacentral:rRNA from 2 species